rnacentral:rRNA from 1 species
AAUGCCGCGUGUGUGAAGAAGGCUCUAGGGUUGUAAAGCACUUUAAUCAGGGAAGAAAAGCUGCGGGCGAAUAACCCGACAGUCUUGACGGUACCUGAAGAAUAAGCACCGGCUAAUUCCGUGCCAGCACCCGCGGUGACUGAGCGGGCUGGCAAGGCGCAUA